UGCAUAAAUGUUAUCGUUUUUCACACAGCGAAAACCUAAGCUCAGAAACUAACCAUGUCUAGUCUUCCUUCAGACAUAAUCGCCGACAUCCUCAGCCGACUCCCAGCCAAAAAGCUUUUAUGUGUUAAGUGCGUGUGCAAGCCAUGGUGUCAUCUAAUCGACGGUCCAGAUUUCAUCAAGCUUCAUCUCGAAAAAUCGAUGAAGUCCAACACCAACCAAUCCCUCAUCUUGAAACACUCUCAUCUUUACUGGGUAAGUUUAGAUUCACUUGAAUCAGCUUCAGAAAUCGAUCACCCUUUAAUGUGUUACAAUCACAGCGUUAAGUUACUAGGUUCUUGUCAUGGGUUGCUCUGUAUUUCUAAUAUAGUUGAUGAUAUGGCUUUCUGGAACCCAUCAACGAGAAAACAUAGGGUUUUACCGUUUAUGUCGCUGGAGCUCCGGCGAUAUACGGGUUCUUCCGUGUGUAGUGUUUGUGUUUUUGGGUUUGGUUAUGAUAUAACUAACGAUGACUAUAAGCUUGUUAGGGUUGCCCAGUUUAGGGGGACAGAAAUUUCGUUUGUUGAGUGUGAAGUUAAGGUUUUUAGCCUGAGAAGAAAUAGUUGGAAGAGGAUUAAAGAUAUGCCUUAUGCGUGUCGGUAUCCGGGGACAAAUGGGGUUUAUGCUUGUGGUGCUUUACAUUGGAUAGUGAGUAGAAAUCGUAGUUCUGGGGAUUUCCAUCGAAAUGGUAAUUCUGGAGAUUUCAAUGUUGUUGUUGCGUUGGAUUUAGCUGCUGAGGACUAUAAAGAGGUGGCGCUGCCGGAGUUUGGGGAUAAGAAUUUUAAUUUGGACGUGGGCGCGUUGGGUGGGUGUUUGUGUGUGGUUGCAAAUUUUUCGAAUGUUCGGUCUGAUGUAUGGGUGAUGAAAGAGUAUGGAGUGAAGGAUUCUUGGGAUAAAUUACUUUCAGUUACGCGAGAACAAAUGUGUGGAAUUGGGAGAUCUGUAAGGCCUUUGGGUUAUUCUAAAGGAGGCAGUGAGGUUCUCCUUGAGCAGGAUAGACUAAACCUUUUUUGGUAUGAUCUGAAAAAGAAGACAGUUAAGGAUGUUAUGAUUCGUGGUACGCCCAUUUCGUAUGAAGUGGAAAUUUGCUUGCAAACUCUUGUUUCAGUUAAUAUUAGUAAAAGAGAUUUGGGAAAGAAUCAGGGAACAGCAGACCAUGACAAGAAUGUAAAGAAGAGGGAUGAUUUCUUGUCUGAGGGUUUCAAACUGGUGCUAUAGCCAAGUAUAGAAAGAAUGGGAGCUGGAGCGCAAAAAGUUUAUUCAAAAGCUUAUAACUUGCAUGCACAAAUUGGUACAGGACUGAGUUUGUUAGCAAAAAUAGAGGAAAGAAGCGGAAAUACUGCAAGUUUAUCUGUGGAAUUUUUCAAGUUACAGAAAUCUACAAGUUUUUUCCUCAGCACUUAGUAUCCUACUCUUCAUGAGAAUACAUCUGAGUUGUGUUCCAGAACCUGUAGUGGCAAUAGCUUUCCUAGCUGUUUCUUCAGCACAGGGACCCGUAUUGAGAGAAAAUCAUCAUGGAGGGGGUGAUACAUGCUGUGAAUUUUUUAAUUCUCACACCUUAGACCACCAAAUCCUGGAAGAUAGACAGGCUGAGUUCCAGUUGCUGCCCAGAUCAUCUUCAAAUGUUUCUGCUCAUGAACUAUCUCAAGCAGUAGUUACGGAAUGUCUCUCUGGAAUUGCAGUUACUCUAUUUUCUGUUAAUAAAUUACUGUGUUCUGUAAUUGCUAUGCAUGAUUAGAUUUGUAAUUAGUAGUGUUGGAGUGCCAUGUGUUUUUAUGAGGCUUGAAAAGAAGAAUAUUAGUAUAUUACCUGUAAUGCAUAAGAAAUGUUCAUUAUGUAAUGUACUUCAGUCUCUUAUUAUAUAGAGAUUAACACUCAUUGAGCUUAAUUGGCGAACAACAUUUCUCAAA